ensembl:lncRNA
AUGACGCAGGAGGAACCGGAGCAGCUGCCGUGGUCUUCUUCACACCUUCAUCAGGUGACAGUCAUGAGCAGAACCGACACACAUGACCCUCAUCAGCUUUUAUGGUCUGAUCUUUUCAAUGCUUCACGUUCAAAAGCCACAGUAAAGCCCAGCUUUUAUUGGGUUUUAUGGUUUUUGGUGACUUGUGUCCAGCUUUGUCUGUGUGGGGGGGGGGGACAACAGAAGAAACAAGAACCCCCCAGACGACAGAAAACCGCCUCUGAUCAUCUGGAAUCUUGGGUUGCCGGCCUUCUGGUUCCUCAGAAUUUGGAAAGACACAAGUUUGGACUGAACCAUUUCCAGGCCGAGUCAGCAGCUCCCCAAGAGGAAAUAAAACCAAGAAAAGCAGCAAACGGUGCAGAAACCUUGAACCAGUUGUAUCAGGGACAGCCGCCGCCCCGCCCCGCCCCGCCCUGACGGACCCGCGCCAGCACAAAGCACAGAAGGUCAUAAAGCAGAAGCUUAGCUCACUGCUGUAAACCCAAACCGGCUAAUCUGGAUCCAGUUCCUCCUACAGCAGGAAAUGAAGAGAACCAGAACUGGAUCAAAAACUACACGUCCUGGUUCUGUUGGGUCAACCUGACCUGCUGUGAGGGUCCACUGGAGGGCCUCUCCAUUCCAGAUCAACAUUUGGAAUGGGUUCUGCAGGAUCAACACCAUCAGAACCAUUUAGUUCUGGAUUCUAUCUGAAACGUUCCACUAAAGGAGAAGUUCCUUCAGGAAGAACGUCUAGCCAGCUGAUCGGCCCUGAUGUUCCCAACACCCACAGGACUUCCAGACUCUGGAUUCCCCCAACACUUCAGAACGUCCAGCACUCCUCUGGGUUUCUCCUGGAUCCACAGCUUUACGGUCUGGAGCUGUGGAUCCUCCUCUUCCUUCGGUCAGAGGAGGUUUCUCCAAACCAGAACCUGGUUUCACUUUCAGAGGAAACCCGUUAAACUGUAGAACGUUCAAAGAUCGUCUGAAGGAAGAAUCCAAAACUCUCAGAUGAGUCUCUAAAGGUUUCCUGGUCGAUGGAGCCCCUGAGGAGUCCGGGUGGAGCUGAGACGCACCGGUGUAGAGACUGUAGACGUUCAGACAGAACCCAACCCAGACGCAGAACUGUGGGUUCACUGCUCGACCCGGUUCCUCACCGUGAGGGAUCUGGAUAAUCCCGGUCACCUGGAGGAGCUCAGAGAACUGCUCCUCUGAGGCUCAGCUGGGGGCAUCUGCUACAGACCCCCAGGAAAGAUCCAGGAUCCGGAUCUCAGCUGGUCUGGGAGCAACUCGGGUUCUGCUGCCAGAUCUGAGCAAAUAGCUGCCUCUGGAUUCUGGAUCCAGAUAGACGGGAGAGGAGAACGGGGGGAGGGGUGGAUUAAAGGUGGGGUUUCUUUCCAACAGCCUCUGAGUCAUGGCUAGAGGCUGGAUCGGGUCGGAUCAGAGGCGGUUCUGGUCAAACUCGUUCAUUUACAGACCACAGAAUUAAAAACCAGCAGAUUUUAUUUUUACAAACCAUGAAACAAGAACAAUAGAAGAUGAAACCCGAC